GUUUUUCUAACAGAUAAGCCCUAACUUGUUCCAUUAGUAUGAGUUCCACUUGUACAAGGGAACUUCCUCCUCUCUCCUCUCUCCUCUCUCCGCAUGGUGGGAACCAGUUAUAAGUCAAAAGAAACAGUUGAGAAGAGAGUCAGGUGAUCAGAACCCAAGAAGAAGCUAGACCCAGUAAAUGUUAUUGUAGCCCAAAUCAACUCUCAGCCUAGGUGGGUGGAAUCACUCUGGUAAUUGGAAGCCAUCUACAGUCUAGGAGAAAUACUCCAAACUUUAGCUCUGGUGGCUUGCCACAACAGUCAGCUGUGCAUCAGUUUCCACUACUAGCUUCUCACAAAGGGAUAUAAGCGUCAUUCUGGAACAUGUCCCAAUUCUUAUGGUAAAACAUGGGGGUUUCUUGGCUGACAAAUCAAUGUGAAAGAGUUCCCUGAGGAUAAAAAGCAUGAAAAUGAAUAGUCUAGGUCAGGGGGGUCCAAUGCAGCACCCUCCAGACGUUGUUGAACUACAGCUCCCAUCAGCCUCAGCCAGUGUUUUUUUUUGGGGGGGACGCAGGGGUAUGCAUACCCCUAAACAUUUUGUGAAUCUUUGUACUUUUGUUCAUUUACUGUAUUUAUUUUCCCCGAUUUGAACUAUAAAAUGGUGGUUUUCUUGAGUCAAAAUGAGAGUACCCCUAAACAUUUUUUUGGGGGGGGGGGAGUACUGGCCUUGGCCAGUAUGGCCCGUGGUUGGGGGUUAUGGGAGUUAUGGUCCAACACUAUCUGGAGGGCACCUGGCUGACUAUCCUAGUCUAGGUGAUUGACAUAAAAUAUACAUCAGUAGAGAAUCAGGCCGGCACAUCUCUGAUGUAUGAAAUUAAAGCAUUGCCCUAAGUAAUAAUAGAAAGCUUUAAUUAUUGUAAAUUAGUUGUGGCUGUACUACUGUUGUCUGCCUAGAGCUUCGUAGUUGGGGGUAAGCUAGAAGAACUGAAAUGGCCGAAUUAUUCAUUUAUGUUUCAUGCUGUGGAUUAGAAUGUGAUUAGAUUUCUCUCCAAACUAGAGACACUGCUAGUAUUGAGUUGCACCCAGGGGUUCUUGGCUUCAGCAUUUAAUUUGCCAGGCAUCGCUCUGUUGAAUUUCACCACCACCACCCCCCAUUCAGUCAGAUGUGAAAUAGUAUGCCAUAAUCACAAUUCCAUCUUGAGCCAUAGACAGUCUUUUGCAAAUGAAGAAUGCAAGACUGGGUAUAGAUUAUUCACUACACUGCCAAACUGAAGCAAGUCUUGCUUUGAGAGCAAACUUGCUUGCAUUCCCCUAAACACCUUAUUUGCUUUCUAAAGCUCAAGUGUCUAUCCAUUCUUUUAUUUUUUGGAAUGAAGCAGGGGUCUGCAAAAUAAACGUUUUCAUUUUGUAAUUCAUUUAAUUUUGCUUCUUAAAGACUUCAUUCAUUUUGUUAUUAAUUCAUAUCACAUUAGUUUUCAUUCAUAUUUUUAUUUGUUUGGGUUUUUUGCUGCCCCUGGUAACAGUGACAUCAGGAUUUUAGGAGGCAACAGUUGAUUUUCCUGUCAUGACCAGGAUACUGCAUCAUUCUGGGACAUUCUACAGAAAAAAAUGGUGGUUCUUAUUGGUGGCCAUCAUUAUUUUGAGAAUGCCUCAGAAGUAUAUGCCAUGUGGGAAAUUCAGGAAAUUCAGGGGGAGGGAAACAUGACUGGGGCCUCUUAAAAGAGUUAAACCCCAGCAGCCCUAAAGGACUGACAAAAGAGAUAAUGAAAACCAGCAUCUGUACACAUUUGUUACCCAUGGCAUUCUUUUAUAAUAAUGGAAAUUGAACCAAAUUGGGUCCAUUCACUUCCAUGUUUAAUUCAUACCUGGUGGAGGUGUCAGGUAUUGAACCUUGGGGCAUGCUGCAUGCAAAGGAAGUGCUCUAUCACUGAACUAUGACACUCCCUUUACAUUUGUCAUUGCUGAAGUUCAGUUUCUAUCCACUCAGCCCCACAACAGAUCAUUUUAAAUUUUUAGUCUAUACCUGGUACAGCAACAAAAUCCCUUUGAAGACAUUCAGUGUGCUUCUAGCUAUUCAUACCCGAAGGAGUAUACCCUGAAGGAGUGUCUCCACACCCAAAGUUCUGCCCGUACACUGAGAUCCAGCUCCGAGGGCCUUCUGGCAGUUCCCUCCCUGCAAGAAGCGAAGUUACAGGGAACCAGGCAGAGGGCCUUCUUGGUAGUGGCGCCCGCCCUGUGGCCCUCCCAUCAGAUGUCAAAGAAAUAAACAACUGACUUUUAGAAGACAUCUGAAGGAAGCCCUGCUUAGGGAACUUUUUAAUGACUGAUGUUUUAAUGUAUUUUUAAUCUCCUGUUGGAAGCCGCCCAAAGUGGCUGGGGAAACCCAGCCAGAUAGGCGGGGUAUAAGUAAUGUUGUUGUUGUUGUUGUUGUUGUUGUUGUUGUUGUUGUUGUUGUUGUUGUUGUUGUUGUUGUUGUUCUUCUUCUUCUUCUUCUUCUUCUUCUUCUUCUUCUUCUUCUUCUUCUUCUUAAUGGAGGAGGGUUCUCUAUCCCCUGAUGGCAAGUCCUGCCUGCUCCAUACACCUCACGUUUGGACUUCAGUAUGUGCAUUUAUUUCCAUGCAAAAGGUUCAGCCAGUAUGGUGUAGUGGUUAAGAGCGGUUGACUAGUAAUCUGGUGAACCGGGUUUACUUCCCCGUUCCUCCAUACGCAGCUGCUGGGUGACCUUGGGCUAGUCACACUUCUCUGAAGUCUCUCAGGCUCACUCACCUCACAGAGUGUUUGUUGUGGUGGAGGAAGGGAAAGGAGAAUGUUAGCCGCUUUGAGACUCCUUCGGGUAGUGAUAAAGUGUAGCUCUGAAAUGUAGUGGGGUGGCUGCUUGCUUUUUUGUACAAGCACCCCAUCUAAUCUCCACAAUUUCCCCCUAACCUUGUGCUACAUUUCAGAGGUGCUGCACAGAGUCAAGAACCUGCCUCUUAGGGGAACAGGAUUAUGGGGAAAGGAGAUAGAGAUUUUGUUGGCCAGAAAGACAGCUGAAAAUGGUUGGCCUUUGGUGUAGACCCAUGAAUUCAUAGGCAUGUUUUGCACGAGCUGCUCGCUCACUGUGAUCUGAAGCACUUUGGAACUUGCUGGCUAACCCUCAGGCCAUGUUGUCCUGAUAUUACUUGUGUACCUGACAAAUCAUUGAUGCCUCUCCAGAUUCUUUAGGCUCCCUUUGGCAGCUUCCUCUUGUCAUUUAUUUAAGCUGAGGGAAGUGAGCUGACACACGGCUUUGGCUUGGAAAGAUUACAUUAUCCAAGUGUUGUCCUUGGCUGAGAGGCGCAUUCACGAUUUCCUGAUAAAACAGUCAGCAAUCACGAUGCCAGGCCAGUGUUUUGGAAUGCUUGGAGCCUAGAUAAAAGACUAACAACUAAAACAGUGAAGUCAGAGCCCUUGGAAAGGAAGAGCAGAUGGACUAGCUCCCCAGGGAAUAAAUCUCUGAGGAUCCAGGGGCAUCUGUGGAAACUGUUUCUUCUUGUGCUUACCCAACAGAUCAAUGGAGAAGAAAAGCGGGAUAUGUCUGAAGGAUAAUCAUAAGGAAGGGACUUGGCUCUCCUAGAAGUGCCACACCCAGAAGUGUCCCGUCUAAAUCAAUGGCCGACAGACACCUUCCUUCUUUGCAAUAGCUGCUUGCCUUCUCCCCUCCCUCCUGUUUUUAGUGUUGUACUAUCAUUGUUUUAAUUCUGCUUUGAUUGGCUGCCUUGAGCUCUGUCAAGGAAAGGUGGUGCGUAAAUGGCUUGAAUAAAUAAAUAAUGGCAAAUUGGAGCCUGAAAUGAAUCAGCUGAUUUGCAAGGGGCUAGUGGGCGAAGAUUUAUGGCGUUGGGCCUUUUCAUCUCAUCCAACUUGGUGGAGUCCUUUUAG